rnacentral:rRNA from 1 species
CCUACGGGAGGCAGCAGUGGGGAAUUUUGGACAAUGGGCGCAAGCCUGAUCCAGCAAUGCCGCGUGCAGGAUGAAGGCCUUCGGGUUGUAAACUGCUUUUGUACGGAACGAAACGGUCUACCCUAAUACGGUGGGCUAAUGACGGUACCGUAAGAAGAAGCACCGGCUAACUACGUGCCAGCAGCCGCGGUAAUACGUAGGGUGCGAGCGUUAAUCGGAAUUACUGGGCGUAAAGCGUGCGCAGGCGGUUCUAUAAGACAGAUGUGAAAUCCCCGGGCUUAACCUGGGAACUGCGUUUGUGACUGUAGGACUGGAGUGUGGCAGAGGGGGGUGGAAUUCCACGUGUAGCAGUGAAAUGCGUAGAGAUGUGGAGGAAUACCGAUGGCGAAAGGCAGCCCCCUGGGUCAACACUGACGCUCAUGCACGAAAGCGUGGGGAGCAAACAGGAUUAGAUACCCUGGUAGUCCACGCCCUAAACGAUGCGAACUAGGUGUUGGGGAAGGAGACUUUCUUAGUACCGCAGCUAACGCGUGAAGUUCGCCGCCUGGGGAGUACGGUCGCAAGAUUAAAACUCAAAGGAAUUGACGGGGACCCGCACAAGCGGUGGAUGAUGUGGUUUAAUUCGAUGCAACGCGAAAAACCUUACCUACCCUUGACAUGUCUGAAAUCCUGUAGAGAUAUGGGAGUGCUCGAAAGAGAAUCAGAACACAGGUGCUGCAUGGCCGUCGUCAGCUCGUGUCGUGAGAUGUUGGGUUAAGUCCCGCAACGAGCGCAACCCUUGUCAUUAGUUGCUACGAAAGGGCACUCUAAUGAGACUGCCGGUGACAAACCGGAGGAAGGUGGGGAUGACGUCAGGUCCUCAUGGCCCUUAUGGGUAGGGCUACACACGUCAUACAAUGGCCGGUACAGAGGGCUGCCAACCCGCGAGGGGGAGCCAAUCCCAGAAAACCGGUCGUAGUCCGGAUCGCAGUCUGCAACUCGACUGCGUGAAGUCGGAAUCGCUAGUAAUCGCGGAUCAGCUUGCCGCGGUGAAUACGUUCCCGGGUCUUGUACACACCGCCCGU